UACGUAGGGGGCAAGCGUUGUCCGGAUUUACUGGGCGUAAAGCGCGCGUAGGCGGAACGAUCAGUCCGGUCUGAAAGCCCCCGGCUCAACCGGGGAGGGUGGCUGGAAACUGUCGUUCUUGAGGGCGAGAGAGGAGGGUGGAAUUCCUGGUGUAGCGGUGAAAUGCGCAGAUAUCAGGAGGAACACCGGUGGCGAAGGCGGUUCUCUGGGCAUGUCCUGACGCUGAGGAGCGAAAGUGUGGGGAGCGAACAGG
rnacentral:rRNA from 1 species